GACGAACCGUGCAAACGUUGUUCGGAAUCACUGGGCUUAAAGGGCGCGUAGGCGGGCGACCAAGUCAGAGGUGAAAGCCCACGGCUCAACCGUGGAAGUGCCCCUGAUACUGGUUGUCUUGAGGGAGAUAGGGGCGUGCGGAACUUCCGGUGGAGCGGUGAAAUGCGUAGAUAUCGGAAGGAACACCGGUGGCGAAAGCGGCGCGCUGGAUCCUCUACUGAGCUGAGGCGCGAAAGCCAGGGGAGCAAACGGG
rnacentral:rRNA from 1 species